rnacentral:rRNA from 1 species
AACCAGUGGAAACGCUGGCUAAUACCCCAUACGUUCGUGCGGAUUAGAAGCGCACGAAGAAAGCGCUAGUGCUGAAGGAGGGGGCUGUGGCCCAUCAGCUAGUUGGUAAGGUAACGGCUUACCAAGGCGAGGACGGGUAGGGGGCCUGAGAGGGUGACCCCCCACACGGGUACUGAGAGACGGACCCGACUCCUACGGGAGGCAGCAGUAAGGGAUAUUGCGCAAUGGGCGAAAGCCUGACGCAGCAACGCCGCGUGCGGGAUGACGGCCUUCGGGUUGUAAACCGCUUUUCAGGGUGAAGAGGAAGGACGGUAGCCCUGGAAGAAGUCUCGGCUAACUACGUGCCAGCAGCCGCGGUAAAACGUAGGAGGCGAGCGUUAUCCGGAUUUACUGGGUGUAAAGCGCGUGCAGGCGGUAUGGUAAGUCGUAUGUGAAAGCGCUCAGGCUCAACCGGGCGAGGCCAUGCGAAACUGCGAUACUGGAGGGAGGUAGAGGCGUGUGGAAUUCCGGGUGUAGUGGUGAAAUGCGUAGAGAUCCGGAGGAACACCAGUGGCGAAGGCGACACGCUGGGCCUUACCUGACGCUAAGACGCGAAAGCAUGGGGAGCGAACGGGAUUAGAAACCCCGGUAGUCCAUGCUGUAAACGAUG